rnacentral:rRNA from 1 species
CAAUAGCGUAUAUUAAAGUUGUUGCAGUUAAAAAGCUCGUAGUUGGAUUUCGGGGCAGCCUGGCUGGUCCGCCGCAAGGCGAGUACUGGUCAGCCGCCCUUCCUCUCGAAAGCCCCGACUGCUCUUCGUUGCAGUGGUCGGGUAGUUCGGGACGUUUACUUUGAAAAAAUUAGAGUGUUCAAGGCAGGCCUACGCCUGAAUACAUUAGCAUGGAAUAAUGGAGGAGGACCUCGGUCCUAUUUUGUUGGUUUCCAGGGCCGAAGUAAUGAUUAAGAGGGACAGUUGGGGGCAUUCGUAUUUAAUUGUCAGAGGUGAAAUUCUCGGAUUUAUGAAAGACGAACAACUGCGAAAGCAUUUGCCAAGGAUGUUUUCAUUAA